CCUUGCCUUUCCCACCUCCUGUCUGAGCCUCACCAGGGUGGGCACAGCUUGAGGACAGAUGGACACCUCUGGUGACAAUGUCUGAUUUGGUCGAUGUCCGCUAAUCGCCUUAACAGCUGACUCCAAACCUGUCACCUGACGAGAUAAAUGUGUGUUUCCUUCUCGCAUCACGGUCCCUGGAGGCCAGUGGCGGGACUGGUGCUGGUGGAGGAGGAGUCCACCCGUUCUUACCUUCCCAGCCUGGAGGUGACACCUCACUGCCUCUCCUCUCCUGGUCCCAGCUGGACAGGAUCUGGGAAAUGGAGUGAGCAUCUAUCUGGGAAGAGGGCUCAGGUUUAGAGAGCAGGAGGUUGGCCUGUUUCCUGCCUUCUGGGACUGAGGAAGCCUCCUUGAUGGCCUGGCUUCCAGAAGCUUCCUCCCUUGAGGACCUGUGAUCUGGAUUCCUGCUGUCUCUUCCUUGAUAAUCCACUGAGGAAAGACAUCUGCUUGCCACUUUGGAUAGUUUUCAAGAAAAGAGAUAAUGUCCGAGUUGGAAUAAAUGUGCAAAAUUCACUUCUCUGUGGCAUUUGGGGCUUUCUGUGAAUAGUUGGUGAAAAAUCACUGUAGCAAAGAAACAGAGGCUAAACUAAUGGUGUAUGAAUGGGAACAAAAAAGAUCCUGGGGUAUUAAUAGACCAGUGAUGACUCUGAGUCUCAAUGCAGUGCCAUCAUGAGAAGUCUGGUAGACAGCCAGCCAAUUGGAAUACAAACAAAUGGGGUAUUUUGGCCUGGGAGGUUGUUGUCCUCUUGUUCUAUUCCUGGUCCAUUAGAACCUUUUGGAGGCUUAGUCUCCAAGUGGACCACUAUACCUGAAAAUGCAUUAAUUCCCAGCAUCUGACUCAGUCUCAUCAUGUUACAGAUCAGGACUCUGAAACCUUGAGAAGCUGAAUUAGGGUCCUGCAGUGGGUUAGAGGCAGAGAUAGAAGCAGAGAAUCUCUCUUGUGCCCUCUCUAGUGCUGUUUCCACUCUCUGUGGUUUUCCAGGGUGGUCCAACAAGGCAUUUACGCUGGGGAAUGACUGUGGGGGACCACAGGCUGACCCCAGCCAGGAAGACGCUAAGGGUCAUAGACAGGAUUUGAUGGACUUUCCUAGAGACUGGUCAGCACAGUCCUGGGCAUGCAUGGAUGCUGAGUCUGUGUGGUCCCCAGAUUGGCUAAUGAUCUUCUCUGGGAUGGGAAGUUUCUGGUUAGGAUGGUGCCACCUCAAUAUUUUCCAUACUGCAGAGGAAUAAAUAGUAUGACAGGUGACAGAACCCUGGGGUGGGCCAUGCAGGAUGGCCCUGUGUCCCUUCUCUGGAGGCUUAAAGGGGGAGGUCUGAGCAGAAGUCUCUAUCGCCCAGCUCGUACUCUGGGGAGCACCUACCAUCUCCCAGAGCCCCUUUCUUCCUGCAGUCGAUGAAGUAUUGCUGUAGAGAUGUGCUGUUUCUCAGACAUGAUUUGAAUGAAUGAAAAACUCUUAUAUGGUGGGUGCUAUUUUUAAGACAUACUAGCUGUGGAAUAAAAUUCUAUGAAACACA